AGAGUUUGAUCAUGGCUCAGGACGAACGCUGGCGGCGUGCUUAAUACAUGCAAGUCGAGCGAGGUUACUGUUUCGGAUCCCUUCGGGGUGAAGAAGCUUUAACCUAGCGGCGGACGGGUGAGUAACGCGUGGGUAACCUACCCCAAAGUCCGGGAUAACAGCGGGAAACCGCUGCUAAUACCGGAUGUCUUUACCUUGGGGCAUCUUGAGGUAAAGAAAGGUAACGCUUUGGGAUGGGCCCGCGUCCCAUUAGCUAGUUGGUGAGGUAACGGCUCACCAAGGCGACNAUGGGUAGCCGGCCUGAGAGGGUGGACGGCCACACUGGGACUGAGACACGGCCCANACUCCUACGGGAGGCAGCAGUAGGGAAUAUUGCGCAAUGGACGGAAGUCUGACGCANCGACGCCNCGUGAGCGAUGAAGGUCUUCGGAUCGUAAAGCUCUGUCCUUGGGGAAGAAGGCGAAAGCUUGACGGUACCCAAGAAGAAAGCCCCGGCUAACUACGUGCCAGCAGCCGCGGUAAUACGUAGGGGGCGAGCGUUGUCCGGAAUUACUGGGCGUAAAGGGUGCGUAGGCGGCCUUAUAAGUCAUGUGUGAAAAACCCGGGCUCAACCCGGGUAUUGCAAGUGAAACUAUAGGGCUUGAGUGCAGGAGAGGGAAGUGGAAUUCCUAGUGUAGCGGUGAAAUGCGUAGAGAUUAGGAGGAACACCAGUGGCGAAGGCGGCUUCCUGGACUGCAACUGACGCUGAGGCACGAAAGCGUGGGGAGCAAACAGGAUUAGAUACCCUGGUAGUCCACGCCGUAAACGCUGGAUACUAGGUGUAGGUACCGAUGAGGUAUCUGUGCCGUAGUUAACGCAAUAAGUAUCCCGCCUGGGGAGUACGGCCGCAAGCAUGAAACUCAAAGGAAUUGACGG
rnacentral:rRNA from 1 species